AUCACCACAGGCCACACCUCCAAUCAAUAACCACCUCACCAGAUCUAAAAAGUGAAAUAUGCAAUAAAUGGAAGUCUAAUGAGAAGGUUCAGUGGUAAAGUGUUAAAAGUAUCAAAAACUAUGAAUCUACAGUUUGCGAAUUCAAAUGAUGUUAACCGUUUCAGUGACCCUCUAUUCAGACUUGCUAUUGAAGUAUUUGUACAUAUCACAUAAAUUACAUAUAAGAUGGUCAAAUUUGUUAUAUAUAAACAUAUAUUGAUAUAUAUAUAUAUAAAAGAUGGAUACUGAAGUUCUCAUGUGCUAGGUUUGAUAACUGAGAAAUUUCCUCUGCAUGAAACCAUUGGUAGCCUUGUUAACCCACAAUAUAUAUAUAUAUCUGAUAACUGAGGUUAAGUCCAUAGAAUGGCUUUGCAUAUGUUCUUGAGAAUCAAGGAUUUCCACAUGCAUAUAUUAUAUUUCCAUGUGCUGCUUGUUCGGAUUUAAACACAGUUAUCUACAGACAUACACAUGCUAUACCAUUUAUCAUGUAAAUGUUCAAAGCAUUUUACAAUUUACAUAUCAAAACCUCAACACUAUGAAUAUGUAUGCAUUUGUGUACCUGGUAGAACAUGGAAUUUUCAACCAUAACCUUUAAUACCUGAACGUUUUGAAAUCCAUCUCCUAGUUUCAUGAUUGAUUCUGUGUUUUCGUCUCUGGAUUGAACAUAUCAAAUACCAGUAAUAUAUUGGUGUUGCCCCUUAACUAAACAUGUCUUCCUAUAUAAUAUUUGUCCUUGUGUUGCAGCAAAAUCAAAGAAAAACAAAAACAGUAUUUAUUCAUUUGAAAAAUAAUUUCUUGAUAAAUCAGAAAAUAUCUAAAAAAAAAAUUGAAUGAGAGCUAAUCGUGCCAAAAACGAAAAUAACCAAAUCUAUUCACCAUCAUAAGUGACCACAAUAUUGUUGCUUCCAUCAGUCAAUGCCAUUUUGAGAUACAUAUUUCUUUAAAUGUAAAGGAACUAAAUUGGUAUGUGUGGACAUAUCUAUCUAUAUAUCUUCCAUCUGACCCAUGCAGGCAUGGAAAAGUGGACAUAGAAUGAUGAUAAUAUCUAUAAACAUCAUAAGGAAGCAAGCUGGCAGAACUGUUUCCAUUCCAGACAAAAUGUGUAAUGGCAUUUAUUCUGACUUUGCAUUCUGAAUUCAAAUGCCGCCAAGGUUGACUUUUCUUUCAAGGUCUGUAAAGUAAGUACCAGCUAAACACUGGGGUCAUUGUAAUUGACUUCCUAACCUCCUCCAAAAUUGCUGGCCUUGUGCUAAAAUUUGAAAUCAAUAUCUAUAAACAUUACGUAUAGAGUCUGUCAAAGAAAUCUGUGAACCAGGAAGAAACGGUGGUAAGGCGGCAUGAUCAGAAAAAUACAAGCAUUAAGAGAAACUGAACACUGAAAUCAUUCCUUGCCUUGGCCUCCAAGAGAGUUUGUGGGAAACUGAAGAAUCAGCAAUGUAUUUUUAAAGACUAUAUCAUGAAAA